AUGGCAAAACCCCCUCCAUCCCCUACCACUCCAGUAUUUUUUACCCGGAUCAGUGAUCGGGACCUAACUGAGAUCGAGCUACAUUCCGUGGAGUCCAUCAACGACCUACACCGAACCCACCCAGAAUACAACCACAAAGGUACUAGACAUUGCCGUGCUGUAUCAUACAUUUAUAGACUUGCAUCCAAAGGCACCACUGAAAUGUGCUGCUCAUUGCUCCCUAUUGGUUAUAGUCGCUAUAAUCUCCACUGUCUCUAUGCUCUCUUCAGGCAGCAGACGACCUCCUCUUCCUCCUGCUCCCUCCACCAAUGGGAACCCCCAUCUCAGGGACAGACCGGUGGUCUGUCAGACGGGGCAUCCAAUGACAAGUCGAUGGCAGAGGACGUUCCGAGACCUGUUGACGCCCACCUCGUUUCGAUACACCGUGAUAGCACUGAUGCUAUUGAUGCUACUUCUUAUCUUCUAUUUCUUAGUGCAGCAGGGCAGCACUCUCCGGUCCCUAACUAAGGCAGUGAGGGAGAGACAGGCUGCAGCCCUAGAGAUCUCCCAACUCAUCCAGGAGCUGCAGGCGCUGCGCCAUAACCUCUCAGCCAUCACAGGAGGACUCAAAGGAGCAGAGGUCAGAGGUCACUGAAAGGAGAGGUCACUGAAAGGAACACCCUUCACCCCCUGGCCCCUGAGGGACCUGUCCUACAGGCCCCAUGGACAAUGAGACUGUUACACCAACAUCAAGUCAAAUCCCUUCCCUGCACAUGGUAUUGGAACUUGGGCCCACCCAGAAACAACUCCUAGCCCCUACUCCCAUAUGAGCAGAGCCCAGGUGUUAUAAAACCCACAGAGAAUGUUUCCUGAUUUGGUAGACAUAUAACACAAAGAAGAGACUCAUACAGUAUGAAUGCAGGGUUCUGAACACUUUAUAGCAUCUAUAGGAACCACACUCUUGAACUGACAAUGAAUGUACUCACACAACUGCACUGGGAUACAGACAUGGUUCAGGUUCGAUUUGAUCUAACUUUUAGAAGUGGUAUUCUUUUGCAUUUGACAGGAAAUGUAUUUUGAAAUGCCACACCCAUUUUGUUACUGAAACACUGUGCCGAUUUGGGAAAUUCUGUCUGACUAUCACAACUUCAACAUGUCACGCGUGGAAUCGAAUUGUGUUUAAUGAGUACGCCGAGGAAGUGCCUUAGCAUGGCAACUGCCACUCUUCUCAAUUUGAUACACUUGGUGGAAUUGCAAUGAGGCCACUGUACAACAACUAAAUAAACAAGAGGUAUUAUUAUAUUAUAUAUUGGUGAUAGAGGCUAUCCUUUCCUGACACUCCUCACCUAAGUAUUAGUGAUCGAGGCUAUCCUUUCCUGACACUCCUCACCUAAGUAUUAGUGAUCGAGGCUAUCCUUUCCUGACACUCCUCACCUGCCCAGUCCUGAUAGCACUGGCACAGGAAGUUAGCGAGAAGGCGACAGAGGUCAUGACACGGGUCAGGGAGGAAGUUGGAGAAGGGGCCAGAAAGGAGGAUCAUGUGGUCAGAGUAUGGGUCCUGUCUGGCACAACAAUCGUUGCCAUGGCAUCGCUCUUCGCUGCACCCCUCUCUUCAGGGUGCUGAUGUACUCUCCCAGUUCAGAAUGAAUGUAGUCCCUCAGUAUCACACACUGACGAGAGAGGGAGAGAAAGGUUCAUUUACAAAUACAAAAAGAUAAUCUAAUAGAAACUGAACUGCAUACAACGUCAAGGUAAUAAUGGCUGUAGAGGUAUGUAUGCGUACAAUAAAUGUACAUUAUAGUG
ensembl:lncRNA